rnacentral:rRNA from 1 species
UGGGGAAUAUUGCACAAUGGGCGAAAGCCUGAUGCAGCGACGCCGCGUGAGGGAUGAAGGCCUUCGGGUUGUAAACCUCUUUCAGCAGGGACGAAGCGCAAGUGACGGUACCUGCAGAAGAAGCACCGGCUAACUACGUG